rfam:Triticum urartu cultivar G1812 contig1210961, whole genome shotgun sequence.
GGUCUUGUAGUUCAAUUGGUUAGAGCAUCGGUCUUAUAUGCCGCAGGUUGAGGGUUCAAGCCCCUCCGGGACCA